AGGAGAGCGUGGGGUGGUGGGGAUGGGGGGUGAGGGGGGUUGGGGUGAGGAGGAGGGGUUUGUGUGGGGCGUGGGGGGAAUGGUGGUGGAUGGUGGGGAGUGUGGGAGAGAGGGGUGGAAGAGCAAAAGGGGGAAAUGAGGCCAAAAUGGGGGGAGAUGACCCCAAAUGGGGGGGAACACAAAAAGUUGGGAGAAUAACCCAAAAUGUGGGGGGGAAAAAACACAGAUUGUGGGGGAAAUGACCCAAAAUGGGAGGAAAUAACCCCAAAAGUUCCCCAAAAUACCCCACGUGGCCCCAACGGACCCCCAAAAUGCCCCCCAAAUGGCCAUCACUGCCAGGAACCGAUGGCUUCCGCUCUCCCACCCACCAGCAAAACCGGGUGAAAUUCCACCAAUUUUGGGCAAUUUGGGCCAAAACGGCUCCUGUCCAACCCCCGCAUCCCCCCCCCCCCCCAUAAAAAAGUGUUUAAAAAGGUGAAAUUGGGCCAAAAAAUGGCACUUUUGGGUGCGCUCCUCCCCUCCGCCUGUACAAAAGUUGCGCUUUUUUGUAAAAUAUCCCCAUUUUUACACACAAAAAAAAAACCCCAAAAUCGGCGUUUUUUGGUUUUUUUCGGUGUUUUUUUUUUUUUUUUCUUUUUCCUUUGGCAAAGCUUGAAGCGGAUUUUGGCUUUUUGGAGUUGUAAUAAAUUGUAAAUAGCGCCGCCCUUUUUGGGUCCAUUUCGGCUCCUUUUGGGGUCUGUGGCGGUGGGGGAAAGUGGUGGGUUUUGGCACGACGUUCCGGGUCCCUUUUUGGGGGGGUUUUGACCCCAAAAUCCAAC
rnacentral:lncRNA from 1 species